CACGUAGGGUGCAGGCGUUAAUCGGAAUUACUGGGCGUAAAGCGUGCGCAGGCGGUUUGCUAAGACAGGUGUGAAAUCCCCGGGCUUAACCUGGGAACUGCGCUUGUAACUGGCAAGCUUGAGUGUGGCAGAGGGGGGUGGAAUUCCACGUGUAGCAGUGAAAUGCGUAGAGAUGUGGAGGAACACCGAUGGCGAAGGCAGCCCCCUGGGCUAACACUGACGCUCAUGCACGAAAGCGUGGGGAGCAAACAGG
rnacentral:rRNA from 1 species